CUACCUGAGACCUCGUGCCACCUUAAAGGAGACCUUCUGAGGUGUAUCUGUUUGGUUGAUGCAUCCCCUAAUGCUUCUAUAUACUGGAUUAUAAAUGGAGAUUACACCCAUUUGUCCUCAUUCACCUCUGCUUUGACAAAUAAAAAACAUGUAGUCUUUGGGGAAAUAAAGAUUAAAGUUAAAACCCAGACCAAUGUAUCGUGCACAGGCAGAAACCCACAUGGAAGUGACACCAAAAAGAUACCUGCAGUCAGUUUGUCAGAAUCAUCCCUUUUGCUGUGGCUCAUGCUUCCAGGAAUGAUUUUCCUCUUUGGAUGUGCUGUUCUCAUUUACAGAAAAUAUCCUGUAAAGAGAUUAUUUUUUGGAGGAGGUCAUGUCCAGCAACAACAGACAAACAACAUUUUUCAUCGCUCACAAAAUGAAGACACACAAAUA